rnacentral:lncRNA from 1 species
CUCAUGCUUACGGCUGUGAUAGUGAUUUUAUCGGUGUCUGUUUGACAAAAACUAAAAAAAUAAUGAGUAUAAGUAUCUCCGCAUUUACUCCUCAUGAAUUUCAUGUAACAGGUGAUGGGAGAAUACGGAUAUAGCAUAGAACACAUACUGAUGGUUGAUAUUAUACCUGAUCCUUCUGUGCGCAGGGCAAUGAAUGAGAUCAAUGCAGGUAACCAUACUGUUGUUUUAAGACUUUGUUUGAUUUCUUCCUCUGCACAUAUCGAGUAGUAAAAUAUAUGUUGUUUACUCGAUUGCAGAAUUUAUGGAUUAGGUUCUGAAAGAUUACUCUACAUAUUCCGAUGUUUUGCUACUUUAAUUUCUUUCGCGUGAUUUUAUUUGCAUGAUAUCUGACGUGGGCAUCUUAAUUAUUUGGUUUUGUGGAACCCCUUGGGUGUUUGGGUGUUGAUGAAAUUAAUCAUUUUCCAUAUCAUAUGCUCUUUUUUCAAUAGACAAAUGAAAAUUGUUUGUAAAUUAGUGGUUAUGCAAGUUUUUUCAAGGUUUGAACUUUGGGUUACCAAUCGAGUUGUCACUUGGGACAUCCUUUGUAUGCUGGUUAUACCUUAAGUUCAGUGUGUGUGUGUGUGUUCACUCCUGCACAUGUGUUUAUCCCAUCUCCUUAGUGUUGUUAAAUAGUGUCUAUUACACUAUAGCAUAGUGAAAUUUGAACAAUUCACUACUGUUCUACGAUACGCUAUCUUAGAACUCUUAUUAGUAAAUGUUAUUAGUGGUGGUUAUUAUAAUAUUAUUAGGAGCAGUUAUGUUAAUUGUAAGUUAAGUUUUAUUAGGUGUGUGUAUGUAACUAUAGAUGGUAGUUUGUUAUUUGAAUUAAGUGCGGAAUUUAUAGUAAGGGAGAAGGAAGGAUCUCGAUUCCUGUCAGUUGUGUCAUUCAAAUAAUUGUGUAAAACUCCUCUUAAGAAACUGCUCUGUCAGUUUCGUUCAGAAUUGUUGUAACAAUAUGUAUGUAAUCUUUGCUCUUUGGAGCAUUGUUUCAAGUGUGAUUCCCCAAUACUAACCUAGUACAUUGGGUAUAUCCUAUUAAUAUUGAUACCAGUUCUAACAAGCUACUUAGUGCAAAAUGAUGUCAAAUAGCAGCUAUAUCGGUGCUAAACCACUUUUGCAUAGCGGAAUAUGAACAAACUGACAUUUUUCAUGAUCGCUGAAUGACAACACUGCAUCUGUUUGUCCAUAUAUGCAGUCUCUUUAUGCGUGUUUAUUGCAUCCAGAUGUCAUUUAUGUAGCUGAACUAACGAGUUAUGAUUUAACUUCACAGCUCAAAGGCUGCUACUUGCUAGUGAAUUCAAAGGAGAAGCAGACAAGGUGCUUAUUGUUAAAAAGGCAGAAGCAGAAGCCGAAUCAAAGUUUUUAGGCGGGGUUGGUGUGGCAAGGCAGAGGCAAGCUAUCACAGAUGGCUUGAGAGAGAACAUCUUGCAAUUCUCUAACAAGGUAGAAGGAACUUCAGCGAAGGAAGUUAUGGAUCUUAUCAUGAUUACUCAAUACUUUGACACAAUCAGAGACCUUGGAAACAAUUCAAAGAAUACCACAGUUUUUAUACCUCAUGGACCUGGCCAUGUUAGGGAUAUUGGUGAUCAAAUUCGCAACGGUAUGAUGGAAGCAUCGUGUGCUCAAGUUACUGAUGUUGAGUGAUUUUGUAAAAUUGCAUUUUAUCAAAGUACACUCCUGUUUCUUCUAUCUUUAUCACAGUGUCACAUACAUAAAAUAGUAAUUUCUUGGUAAUAUAUGGAUAUGUCAUUUGUUUAUUUAUGUUGGAUUUUAUGAAGAACAGUUUUGAACAGUUUGAAGUUGUAAAUGAAGAUGGUUGAGUUGUCUAUACAAUCUCUGUAGCCAUGCUAUAUAUUCCUUGACAUUGUAAUCUUAUGAGAAUUCAAAAGAUGAUAUAUAAUCUUCUGCUUUAUAUUAACUUAUCUUUUUCCUAUAGUAUCAAAAGUAUAGUUGUUUUUAUAUAUAUGGUUGUUGAUUUGACAAUGUCACCACUAAUCAUAAUUAAUAAUGUUUAAAACUGUGAUUUGUGUUCAAUGAAUGACUAUUGAGUAGCAAUAUCUUGUUAUAUUCAUUUAUCAUCCACUGAACGCAAUUAACAAUGUGUUAGAAUUGCGUUAAAACCAACCAAAUUGUUGACAAAAAUUGUUCCAUUUUGUGUCAAAAUAACAGUCCGGUACUUUCUCAUUUGUGUAUGUCUUGAAGUGUUGCUAUGUUAUUAUGCAAUCAAAUUUCGAUAGCAUAUGACAUAUUCCAGUAGUCCAAAUCCAAGUGUCAUCUCUAGAACCAGCUGCAAAAUCCACUGCCAGAAAUGAUAAUAUGAUAAGGAAUAAUCCAGGAAAACUGUAGCUUCCAAGAUAUAUACUGCUCAACAAGAUAAAACUGAAAAGAAUCAAAUGAAAGAUGCUAUGCAGAUAUAUUGUGAACACGGAUCCUCUGAAUCCGUGCAGCCAAAUUUCGACAGUUAGAUCAAGGUAGAAACCAGAUUCAACAGUCUGCUGUAUCAACAGAAGAGUAUCUGGGCUGAUCUGUUGUAGGUGUUAAUCUUACCGAAAAGCUAUUGGUAUAACAAUUAUAACAUUACCAGUUCCAGCAAUUGCAAUAAAGUUAUCUCAACGAGAAUUGAAAUUGUUACAAUGAAAGGGAAACAUAAUCAAGUUAAUAAUAAAGGAAACAUUGUGAAAAACAUUGAGCAUAGUCAUAGAGUAAUAUUAACAACCUUGAGGAAUCUGAUAAUCGGAAGUUCGGCUGAAAGGUAAGUGAAACUUGGUUAAAGAUUGCUUUACCCAGGGUUCGAACUCAUGUACUCCCGAUUGAUUCAAUAUUCACUGAAACCCGUAAGAAUGAAUGAUGUCAAACAAAACAAAUGCAUACAAAAGCCUGUUGAUGGGCUCAUUUCGUCCAACAUGAUAACCCUACCUUGCAAACACAGGAAACAAUGCUGCUUGUAAGACACUAACUGUACCUACAGAUUCCCUUCAUGUAUAAAUUUUAUCAUUAUUUUCCUAAAGGCUCAAUUGAUUGUUAGUUCGCAACAAAAUGCUGACGGAGACCAUGAAUGACUACGUAAUAACUUCAAAGUCCAAAAUGAUUUCGCUUAUUUAUCAAAAGAUACAGAUGAUGAUUCCUAUAAAUACAGUUCAACAAAAUAUUGUGACAAAUGGUGGUUUCCUACACCAAGGUUCCCACUAGAAGGUUUCUGCAGUAAUAGGAAGUUUGUUAGACUCAAAUACUAGUGCAAGCCCGAGCAAGAAAAUGCUCAAAACUUAUUAAAAAUGGAAAUCAAUGAGUCAAGAAGAGCUAGUAUAUGCUUGGUAGAAUUUAUCUUCAUUCACACUGAUAUUUUUCAUAUAAAACAAAGUUUUGUUUAUUUUUCUUCCUUUACAUAAAACAAGACCAAGUUAAGGGAGAAGAGUAUUACAGUAACAGACAGAUGAAUUUCUUUCAACCUCAUCAAUUCCUAGAGAAAAUGGACAAGCUAUGAGAACAUAAUAUCAUAGUCCUAGAUCUCCAAAACAUACCUGUGAUUGGAAUCAGAAGCACAAACAGGAAGUAAGUUUUCAUUUUACAAAGAUAUAAGCACAAGAUCCACCAAAUCUCAGUCUAGUCCAACUUAGUGUACAAACAAUCCACAUCAUGCAGCAGAAAAAACUCACUAGAUGCAUAAAGCAACAGCGAUUUUAGGGCUUUGCCAGUUAACCAAACUAUCGAGACACUGGUUCCUCCUCAUACACAAUGCAGUCAGGGACAAAAGAAUUGAAACUGCCUCACAAAUAUCACUGCAGAGAGAACAGUUCACUUGUUGCAGCUUUUGUAUCAGGGAUUAGGGUUGAAGAGCACUUUCUUUAUCUACCAAUAGUCUUUGCAAGAACAAACUCCAUUUUUGAAGUGGUGAUACCUCAUCCUAUCUCGUACUAUAAUUACUCGAUCAUAAACCUUAGAGAUAAAUUUUGUCGCAUGAUGACAAUCCGCACAAACUCUUAAAUUUUUCACUAUGCAAAUUGGAGUUCCUGGUGCUGUGUUCAUCAGUCCAAAAGCAAUAGCCAACUUCUCACUGUGUACAGAAAGAGCAGUCUCUUUAUCUUCCUCAUCAUCAAAAUCAAGCAAAACUUCCCCUAACUCGGGAACAUACCCGGCAAUCUUCAACUUGCUUAUCAUCUCAUCCAAAAAUGAAUAAAUCUCCUUACUCUUAGGAUGUGAUCGAUCACCAACAAGGAAUUGAUGGAAUAUCCCAUUCAAUUCAAUUGAGCUGAAACCAGGAAUUUUUUUCCUGUCACUGUUGAUUUCAUUUUUCUCUCUUAGCAUCCUUGCUUCAUUCCAUCUUUCUGAUGUAGAAUAUAUAUUACCCAGCAAAACAUUACAGCCUAUAUGGUUAGGAUCAAUUUCUUUAAUUAUCCUACCUAUUCUAUAUCUGCGCUCCAUAUCUUUAUAGAUUCUACAAGCAUUCAACAGUGCUCCCCAAAUCGCAACAUCCGGAGCCAUUGGCAUGCUCAAAAUCAUCUCUUCAGCAUCCUUCAAGAGCCCGGAGCGACUAAGUAAAUCUACCAUACAUCCAUAAUGCUCUAUUUCAGGAUUAAUUCCGUAAUCGCUACCCAUCAAUUCAAAAUAUGAUUUUCCCUCCUUAACCAUAUAGCCAUGGCUACAAGCAUUUAAUAAGGCAAUGAAUGUUACUUUAUUAGGAGAAACUCUUUCAACCUUCAUUUUUUAGAACACAUUUAUAGCUUCUUCAGGUUUUCCAUGCAUUGCAAACCCACCAAUCAUGGCAUUCCAUGGCCAAACCUUUCGCUUCACUUUGUGUUCACAGAAAACACUUGACGCAGAUUCUAUCUCUCCACACUUUGCAUACAUGUCAAUGAGGCUAGCAAGAAGUCUAUCAUUCAUCUUAAUCUCGCCCCUGCGAAUGUACACAUGGAUCCAAUUUCCCUGAUCCAAUGCAACAAGUUUCGAACAGGCUGCAAGAGUGCUUACCAUGGUAUAUUCAUUUGGUUUAACCUCGGAUUGCAACAUUUUGUGGAAUAAGUCCAAAGCCUCCAUGAAACAGCCAACCUAGAGUAUGCAUAAAGUAACUUUAGACAGAGUACAUAUACAAUCAAGUUAAAAUAAUAAAAUAUAGGCAAAAUACAUUUUGCGAAGUUGUUUAAUUGUACGAAAUCAAUCCUUUAUUUUUUUUUGUUCCUUGAUAGGUCCUUUAAGUUCCAAAAUGUGGACGUCGUUUCCUUUUCUGUGUUUCAGUUUAGCUGCAUUUUGAUACUGAUGUGUAGAUUAAAAAAGCCAUUCCUUGGCUCGAAUCAUAUUACCGGAUCCAACAUACGCACCAAUCAUAGCGUUCCAACUAUACAAAUCUCUAUAUACAGCCAAAUCAAAAACCUUCCUCGCAUCCUCCACAUCUCCCCACUUUCCAAACAUACCAAUCAACGCAUUCACAACAAACACAUUACAAUCCAACCCAACUUUCACAGCAUGUAAAAAAACCUGCUCCCCUUCCCUCACACAUAACCCAUUUCCACAAGCACCAAAAGCAAACACAAAACUAUACCGAUUCGGGAAAAACCCUGAAUCCCUAGUCAACAAUUUAAACACUGCGACGGAAUCACGAUACGAAUGGUUUGACAUAGAAUGUGCUUUGAUCAUGGUGUUGUAAAUGAAUAAAUCUGGGUGAGGAAUUUUAUCAAACAGUUUGUAUGCAUAAGUAAGAGAAGCUAAAGCAACCUGUUUAACAAAUUUGUUGGCUAUAACACGGUGUGAGAUUUGUGCUGUGGUGAUUAAGUUUGCAUGGGUUUGUUUAAUUUGAUUAAUAGAUUUACAUAAAUCAAUUAAAGAGCUAUGUUUUGAAUGGUUAACAUAAUGAAAAAGGUUUAGUGUCACAGCCAGUUUGUUAUACCUUUUUUUAAAACAGAUUUUUGUAGUGUAAUAUGUUUUUGUUAUAAUAUUUUUAACAAUUAUUUUUUGAAGGAAAACUUUAAAUAAAAAAUUUGUUUGAAUAGUUUAUCUUCAAAUGUCAUUCUAAGGUUUUGUUUGAUAAAAAUAGCGGAUAGCUGAUAAACUAUCUGAUAGGUGAUAGCUUAAUAUAAAAUGACAUAAAAGGACAUUCUUAAUUUGUAUUAAAAUUUAUAACAAUUAAUAUUUAAGAUAUAUAUAUUCAGUAAUUUAAAUUUAUUAAUUUAAUAAAUAUUUUAUAUAUUAUCAAAUUAAUAUUUUGCUAAAAUUUUAUUUUUUCUAUUCCAAUUUUUAGACUUUAUAAAAAAUUAAAGUAUGAAUGAUUUUAUUUCAGUUUUUAUACUUCAAAAAAAUUAAACAUAACAUUGAACUAAAAGUAUUUUGAUCAUAACAAAGCUCAAUGUGUCAUCGUGGGCUUAGCUUAGUUGAUAAGGACAAUGUCAUAACAUAUGUAAGGUCCGGGUUUAAACCCGAGGCACCACCAAAAGCUCAAUGUAACACCUUUUCAACAAUAAAAAUAAACUCUCUAAAAGAACGAGAGGAAGAAGGAGAGGAGAGAAGAAUGAUGUGCGAUGGAAGAAGGAAACGCGAUGGAGGAGAGAAGGAGGAAAUCUGGAAGAAAGAAAAAUAUUUCCCUUAUAUAUGUGCCAUGUGGGAUUUGCCACGUGUGCAUCACUAACGGGCAAAUGACAGACCAGCUUUGCUAUUCAGUACGGAUAUUUCUGUGCGGAAUUUCACGGACGCGUGUGAAAUUUAACGAUCCACGCGCUGCAAUUGCUUAAGUCCUACUUUUAUUUUUUAAUAAAAAUUCAGACAAAAUAAAUUCUUUUGUUUAAUCAGUUUUCAAUAUCUCUUCUAACAAACUAUCAGAAGCGUUCUUCUCUCCUUUCCUUCUCUACGUUGUCACUCAUCACCAUCCACCAUAUUUAGUUUUCUGAAAGGAGCAAUUUCUCCGUUGAUCAUUUUCGUCCGCCGUCGCUCAGUCAUCGCCAACCACCACAACUCGCCAGGAAACGCCGCCGAAGUUGGUAAUCUCCACCGCGAUUAAAACAUUACGUCGGAGACAGUAAAAGUAAUUAAAAAUGAAGUGAAACAACUCAAACAAAGUGGUAAUUUUAUAAUUAGAAGAUGAAAACAUAAAAUUAUUUUGAGAUUGAGAUUGAUAUUGAUAUUUAAGUCUAGAUAUAAUCUAAAUGCAAAGAUCAUGUAGAGAUAAUAUGUGUAUGAUGAAUAUGUAUUUCGGUUAUGUAUUGUUUUGUUUAUUCCGCCCAUAAGUUAUUGUGCUUAUUUCUGACCUUUGCAAGUAAUGGCUGUCAGUUAGGUUCCAGAAAACAACUGUUGUGUGUAUGUAUAUUAGAGCAAUAGCAUAAUAAAACAAGAAUUGCUCUGCAUUCAAUAUAUUGUUCCUCUGUUGAUUGGUUGUACUUUAGAAGACAAUGAUAAUAUUGUUGCUUCUGUCGUAAGGUUAUGGUCAAAAGUGAACCAAAAGAUUAUGAUCAAUAAUUAAGGAACAAUUUUGGUUUUAUAAAACAACUGUUAUUUGUUGGUGUGUAUAUGAUAGCAGUAAUCUAAGAAAGGAAGUAUAAUUCUGCAUUCAUCAUUUUGUUUCUUAGUUAUUUGGCUGUACAUCAGAAUAUGACUUCUGCAAGGUGUUAAAGCAGGACUAUUCUAUGAUAUAAUCUCCUAAAAUUUACGUUUCUAUAAAUUAUAUUGAUUAAUUCUCUGUGAAUUGGAAGUUUAAGGGAAGUCAAAUACUUAUUUUGUAUAGUUAUUUCUUUGAUUGCGAUUUUUUGCAGCUUUCAUCUCACCUUUUCUCGGAUCUCCUUGAUUCCAUUAUAGUUGAUGUGGCAUCAGAGUGUCACAGAGUAGCCAAGCUAGGGCUUGACACUAAUUUGGUUGAAGAAGAUGAAGAAUUGAAGUUAUUGUGCAGGAUGUCUCUUCCUUUGCUGAAGUGUUCAAUGCAGCCUGUAGACCCACACCAGGAAUGAAUAGCAGCAGAGAGCCUAUACCAGAGUCCUCAAAAGGUUGGAAAAGCCCUCCUUUGGGUGUUUUGAAAGAUGCGAGAUGCUUUGAAGAUGGGCACACAUGUUGGGGUCUGAUCGUUAGAAACCAUGAGGGUGCGGUCAUUACGGCAAAAAGAAAGAUUGAAAAUGUGUCCAUGACUCCAAUCCUAGCUGAAGUUGUGGGACUAUGAUGGUGCUUUAAAUUGGCUUUCAGGAAAAAGAGAAAAUUAAUAUUGAGCAUUUGGAUUUUAGGAGGUCUGUUAAGACUAUCCAUGCAAUGUAAUAUUACUCAUGUCUAUGUUAUACAUGUCAAUGAAUAAAAAGUCCAUCUAACAUCAAUUUGUGUACUUCAAGUUUUAAUAUUCUUUAGUAUUUCUUUUGGCAUCAAUAACAUGAUAUUCCUUCCAAAUAAAAGGCUAUAGAUUUUUUUUAAUCGGCAAAUUAUUCUCGUCGAGAUUGUGUAAGGAACACGAAAAUCUCGCGGAUAAAAUCAAACAAGAAGUAACGAGUACACAUGAACACUAAUACAAACACCUACCAAAACCACCCAUAACAAAGCUAAAAUCAGAAGCUUUAUAUUCCAAAUUUGGUUGCUGCUAAAGGGUAAAAAACACUGAAGCAGAAACAAAACUGAACCAAAAAGAAAAAAAAACACAUAACUAGCACUAAACAACCCAUUCCACCUAACAAUAAUGCUUGACCAAAACAGCCGCACACAUGCUCAAAAGUGAAUACUGCAGACCCUCAUGCCUUGACUACAGAAAAACCAGACAGCAGUUCAAACCAAAAACAGCAGUGUUAUGGUUUUGUGACCUGAGAGUAAUAAGGAGCCUGCAAAGAAUAUAUAAUUAACCACUUAUGUUCAUUAUAAAAAUGUCAAAUAAAAACAAAACAACACCAAAAUCUAUAUUUGCACCUUGUUUACUUGACCAAAAUGUUCUUGAUUUGGAUUGAAGGAAGCUACAGUAUUCACACUACCAUUUUCACUGCUACAAACAUAGUUAUGCUCCUGUUAUAGAUAUUAACAUGCAAAAACAUAGAUAAAUAGUAUGCAAUAUCAUAUUGAAUAUUUCAAAUAACAAAAAGCCAAUCAUUUUUAAUUAAAUGAAAGUAAGAAAUCAGGUUUACUUGAAUAUUGUCUUGUGUCCCAGUCCCAUCAAAAAUUUGAUACCUAAGAAACUCUUCAUUUGUAGUAUUUUGAACUACAUGCAAUCUUAGUCUCUGUCAUAAAAAAAACUAUAAUUAGACACACCCACAUGUACACACACACUACUGUGUUUAACUACAUAAAUAGUACCAUUCAACCAUUUAAAACUAUGUUCACACUAAAAUAUUUACAUAGAAAUAUUUACACUAAAAUAUUUAGUAUAUGCUUUGUUUACUUGAAUGCUCUCUUGUGUGCCAAUUCUAUCACCAAGUUGAGAUUUGUAAAACACUUCGUCUUCAAUUUCUUGACCUCUAGAUGUACAUUGGCCCUGCCAUAAAAAUUAUUAAAUUAGACAUCUCAACUAUUAUACCUAUAAUAUCAACAAAUUGCUAUAAAUUUCAUACUCACCUCUUCUUGAACUUGAAUAUUUUUACUACUUUGGUUGCUUUUUUUAGUUUUCUUUUGUGCAAGCUUCUUCUUCACAAUCUGAUCAACUAUAGAAGUCUUCCUUUUUGAAGGAGGACGCCCUUUACUUCGAGCUAGUUUAGGAUCAAGAAUGAUAGCUUGAUUUUGAGCUGAACAAUCUUCUUCUACAAUUCUAGGAGAUGUUUCAUUACAUGGUAACUCAAUUUUCAUGUUUUGAAUCAAGUUCAUCACUUUCACUAAAUCAUCUUCACUAUUUAUCCUCGUUGAAGCAAACUCAUAAAAGGCAUCACAAGCUUUACCCACACGUUGCAAUUCAGUUUUUCCAGCCAAAUUAUCAAAACCGCAUUUAAUAAGUGUAUACCUCCGCUUUAUAUCCUUCCUCCACCGUGCCAAAAUAUAAUUAGAUGGCACAAAAUCUGUUUUCCCUAUGAGCUUAAGCACGCAAAGGAUGUGCCUACAUAAAAUGCCUUUAAAUUCAAACAAGCAGCAGGUGCAUUUUAACACAAAGUCUUUUUCAUUGAAGAACACCAUCAACACAAUAUCUUUCAUCGUGUCAUAUACUUUCUUACUUUCUGUAACAGAAAAUAUUGAAUCCAAACCCUCCAAUCUGUUGAAACAUGCAUGACAGUACAUCAUAGAAGCUAUUUCCAAUUGGAAUUCCUGAAACUUUGCAUUGGUAAAUGCUUUUUGGAAUUGGAACUCAAAACCAAAGUGACUAAUACAAAAAAUAACUGUAUUAAAAGAACGAAAGUCAGCAAUUUUUUCCUUUUCAAUUUUGUCUUUCAAUGCAUUAUCAUAUUUCUCAACAAAUUGCUUCAAUGUUGUCUUUGAGCUUACAUAUCCAUCAAAAAACGAGUUCAUACUUUCACUUCGUUGUGUAGUUGACAUUCCAGCCUAAAAUGUGUCCCUUACAUAUGCAGGGACCCAACGAUGUCGCUCAACAAAUAACCCUUUCAACCAUUCGUUAUCCUGUAGUUUGUAACACUCAAUCAUAUUUUGCCACCUCGUCAUAAAAUCACUUUUGGUAAAAGAAUCAUAUACAAUAUCAUGCAAAAGUGUUUUGAUAGACUCGUAGUCAGAGUGGCUACCAAACUUUUCUAGAAUCUUUUUCAUUAAAUGCCAUAAGCACCACCGAUGACGAGCUUUCGGAAAGACAAUCUCAAUUGCAUUCUUCAUUGCUCUGUCUUGAUCAGUGAUUAUGUCAUUUGGAGAACUUCCAUGCAUACAUUCCAACCAUAUCUUAAAUAACCAAGGAAAAGUUUCAGUAUCCUCGUUUGACAACAGAGCACAACCCAACAACAUAGACUGACCGUGAUGAUUUACUCCAACAAAAGGAGCAAAAGGCAUGUCAUAUUUAUUUGUUAAGUAAGUGGUGUCGAAAGUUAUGACUUCACCAAAAUAUUCAUAUGCAACCCUACAUCUUGCAUCUGCCCAAAACACAUUUUGUAACCGAAUUUCAUCAUCCACAUCCAUCACAUAAUAAAAUUGACUGUUUUGCUUUUGUAUCCUCACAAAAUAAUUUUGUAUUGCUUCAGCAUCUCCUGUCCCAAGUCACAGUCGUCUUACUUUGUCUAUGUAGUUUUUGCAGUCUUUUUCUCCAAAUGUGAGAUUUUCAUACCCAUCUGCUUCAACAACAAAGGAUCGGAAAUUUCUACUUACAUUAAUCCCAGCUUGGUCAUUGAGUUCUAACCUCCUCUUCAUUUGUGCCCCUAUAUUCUUGUUCGAUCUAAAAUACCUUGCUUUCCCUGGACUUAGAUCAUGAUUAUGCUAAAAAAAAAACACUUUUAAUUUUAGUUGUUCCGUCUAAAGAAAUACACGCAUUCAAUCUAGCCUUACACUGCGUUUGAGUUAUAGGAUUUGGCUCUAACAUAUUCUUUGGGCGACUCACAUACUUUCUAGCUCGACUACAUGCUAAGGUAAAAUACAUUUUCCCCUCAUCUCCUUUUUUUGAACUUAUUUUUUUAACUCCAAAACCCACCCGUUCAACAUAAUUCUUGUAAUACUCAGUAAUUUCCUUUUCAGAUCCGAAUGACAUCCCAUCACAAGGUGUUUCUUCUUCACAAGUACCAUUUGCUUCUAAACAAUCAUUAGUUUCCAAUUCAUCACAAGACUCAAAUCCUUUUUGCACUAAUACAACAAAUUAGAAGAAAAAAAAACCUAUAUUAAUUGACUAACACAAUAAAGUAAAUGAAAAAUCAAUCGAUCAGCACAAAAUUCCUUCUAAUAAUCUAUAAAAACAACAAAUACACAAAAUACUUACUUGUAGGUAAAUUAAAACUGAAAUACUCUGCUUGAGUGCUAUGAAUCAAUGGAAGCUAUGAUGGUAAGCAAAAACAGAGUUACAUGAGAAUGAAUAUGAGACCUGAUUCAAAGAGACGAGCGUGAAAAAGAGAGCGACGACCCUAUAUCACAACAAUUGAGAUUGAAUGUCAAUCAGAUUCUUUGAUUAGCGGAAAAGAGGAGAUAAUUGCAGCGGGAGUGGUGAACGUGGGUUCUUUUUUGUAUGUUUUUGUUUUGGUGAACGGUGGGUUUCACUUUCAUUUCUAUUAAGGGAUUUUAUUAUUUAUUUAAUUUAAUCUUGUUUUUUUUUUUGACAAAGAAACUGCAGCGCGUAGCACUAACACGUUUUCACGCGUCCGUAAUUUUCCGUAUUCAAAGUUUUCGUACGAUAUAUCAUUUUCCAUGACAGAAAGAAAGGACCAAGUGUAGUUACGGAGGUGUACGUAUAAAGUUAUGGGACUAAGGUACCGUUUGCCCCGGCUUUUUUUUUUCAGUUUUUCUACGUUUUUAAGGAGAAGCUAGGCCAAACACAAUAUCAAUAAAGUACCUUCGAAAAAAAGUAUCUUUUUUAGAAUGCAUAAAAUUGAAUGGAAUGAGCUUUAAUCAAAAGUUGUUGAAUGCUACUUCAAAAAACUAUUUCUCCCCAAUUUAUUUCACGAACACCUCUCUUCAACUCCCGCCGGCGACCUUUUGUUUUAUUUUUUCAAUACACUUUUUUCUUCCAUUUUAUUUUUUUUAACUGGUCCAUUUAAUUUUUUAAUGAGGUUCCAUUUAAGUUUAUUAUCUAUUUUUUUAAGGAAUUUUAUUAUCUUUUUAUCACUUAUAUAUUAAUUUCAAUAUCUUUUGAUCAUCACAACCACGCAAAUAUUUGUAUUCAUGCUGUCAAUGAAUGACACCGAAUAUUUUUAUUCCCUUUCUUCAACCACGGAAAUACACACACACAUUAGUGUUUAGAGUAAUAUUUUAUGUUCCUCUUUCUUGUUUUUUUUUUGUUAUGCUAAUGCGUAUAAUUUUUGUUAGUGUUGUGUAAUGCGUAUAAUUAUUUUUAUAAAAUUUUGAUUUUAAUUAAAAGUACAAGUGUAGUUGCCUAAAAAAAUUAUACUUAUAUAUAAUUUACACAUUUGUAUUGUAACAAACUAUGCAUAUCUUUUUCUUAUUAAAAAAACUAAACAUAUCUUUUUCAAUGACACCAGCAAUGUAACAAAUAUAAUAUUAUAUAUAUAAAUUCUUAUCUUUUUGACCAACACUAAAAAUAUGGUAUUCUUAUAACAAAAUUUGUUAUAGAGUAUAAUUGGAAAAGAAAAAACCAAUUAUUCUCAUUAUAUAUACACACAUAUACAUAUUAUAGAUAUGAUUGAGCGUGACGAAGAAAGCAAUAUAAAUGAAGAAAUCAGUUCAUAUAAUCCAGGAAGAGUGCAAGAUGGAGGCUACAUGAAUAAAGUUAGAAAUCAAAUAGGAGUUGCGUUGAUGGAGAGUAGAAAUAUUUGAGUUUGUGAUGAUUUAUGUCUUUAAAAAAAAAUGAUUAUUGUUUUUAAUUUUCCAAACUACUUUGAUAUUAUUUAUGUUAUUAUUUGAGCCUCCUUAAAUUAUUUAUCCUAUUCAAAUAUUUAACAAGUCGUUUAUAUGAUGAUACAAAUUUGUAUUCAUGUUACACAAAAUAAACGUCAUUGAGUAAAUAUAGUAUUGGUAAAAAUAUAUCGUUUAUAUUUUAAACAUUUUUUCCCUUCAAAAAAUAUUUUAGACAUUUUUUUAUUUAUUAUGUUAAUUCAUAAUGAAUUCAAAGUUUUUUUAUUUAUAGACAAUGCAUAAAUAUAUGCAAGGUCCCGGGUUCGAACCCCAGACACCACAAAAAAAUAAUAAAUUCAAAGUUUUGUACAAUAUUUUGCCAAACAGCUUUUAACUCAAAAAUAACUUUAGAACUAAAAAAAAAUAAAGAAACCAAACAGCCUUAACCUUUUUCUUAAAGAGCUUUAUUUUAACUUUGUUUUAAAGUAUUUUUUAGACCGAAAAAAAGCCUGGCCAAACGGUACCUAAAUCGGGAACAACAAAUAAGUUAAGGGAGGGAUCAUGUAAUUAAUUAAGCCUAUUUUUCACAAAGAAUUGAAACCGUGCAGCUUUAAAAAAGCAGUCUCUCGAAUAUCCAGCAUAAGAAUGAGAUUAGGGUGAGCGACGAGAGCAUUAGAAAAGAAGAGAAGAGAAGAGAGUGAUCGUAUCUCAGUCACCGAAAUCGAUAUCGGAUGAUGAAAAUGAUUCUGUUGAAGGGUUAGGGUUUGGGUUUCAAGCUUCCAUUCAGGAUAGAUGCUUUGGACAACAACUCAUCUUCAACGGUUUUCAAUAGAAUCAUUUUCAUCUUCCUAUUAUUGAUUUCAGUGACUGAAAUUACUUUAAUCAGUUCCUUAAUAGAACACAUACUGAUGGUUGAUAUUAUACCUGAUCCUUCUGUGCAUAUGGCAAUAAUGAAUGAGAUCAAUGCAGGUAUUAAAACUGUUUUUAAGACUGUCUUUUUUCCUUUUGACAUUUUUUUUUGUUGUUGAAAAAGAAAAUACGUAUGUAGCAGUAAAUGUAUGCAUGCAGUAUACUCGGUCACCAAAUUUAGCGAUUUGGUUCUGAAAGAUUACGUCGUAUAUUCUGAAAGAAUCCGGUACCAAAAUACAAUUUAAUUGUAGAAAUUGACUUUUAUUGAUGGAAGAAAUGUUUACAACAGAAACUGAUUUACAUUAUAGACACAUAAACUAAGGAAAGAGAUUUGAUCAAUUUCAUGGGAAUGAGAGGCUUCCUAAGGCUAUGUUGCCUUACUUUAUUGCUUUGAUCCCUAAAGUUAGUUUGCCCAUGGAGUUGAAAGAUUUCCGGCCUAUCUCUUUAUUAGGAUGUCUUUAUAAACUCUUGGCAAAGGUGCUUGCUAGGAGAUUGGCCAAGGUGAUGAAUUUCAUUAUUUCUCAACAUCAAUCGGCUUUUUUAAAGGGGAGGAAUUUGGGGGAUGGAGUAUUGGUGUUGAAUGGAGUUGUGGAUUUUGCUAAGAAAUCAAAUUCGGAAUGUCUCAUUCUUAAGGUGGAUUUUGAGAAGGCUUAUGAUUCUGUGGAUUGGGGUAUUUUGGUGUAUAUGAUGGAGAGGGUGGGUUUGUAUCCUAAGUGGAUAGCUUGGAUGAAAGCGUGUGUAUGUGGUGGUAGUAUGUCCAUUUUGGUUAAUGGUAGUCCAACGGAAGAAAUUAAUAUUCAAAGAGGAUUAAAACAAGGUGAUCCCUUAGCACCUUUUCUCUUUCUUUUGGUGGCGGAGGGUUUUAGUGGCUUUGAAUUUGUUUGAAGGAUUUAAGUUGAAGGAAGAAGGGAAGGUGUACUCGCAUCUUCAAUAUGCCGAUGAUACUAUUUGUGUGGGACAAAUAACGGUGGAGAAUUUGUGGACCUUGAAGGCUUUGCUUAGGGGCUUUGAGAUGGCUUCCGGGUUGAAAGUUUAAUUUUUAUAAGAGUUGUUUGAAGGAUAUUAAUGUGGAGCCGGGCUUUAUGGAAAUGGCGUGCAAUUUCUUGAAUUGUAGUCAAGGUUUCUUUCCGUUCAAGUAUUUGGGGUUACCGGUAGGAGGAAAUCCGGGUAGAAUUACCACUUGGGAUCCUUUGAUAGAUCAAUUGUCUUGGAGGGAGGAUUGUUCUUCUUAAUUCCGUUUUGAAUGCAAUUCCUAUCUUUUAUCUUUCCUUUUUCAAAAUGCCGGUUAGUGUGGUGAAGAAGGUGGUUAGAAUUCAAAGAGAAUUUCUUUGGGGUGGUUUAGAGGGAGGGAGGAAGAUUAGUUGGGUUAGUUGGAAGGUGGUGUGUCAACCGAAAGAGGUGGGUAGACUUGGAGUUAGGGAUGUCUCUUUGGUGAAUUUGAGUCUUCUCGCAAAGUGGAAAUGGCAGUUAUUGCAAGGGGACAAUACACUUUGGAAGGAGAUUCUAGUGGAGAGAUAUAGUCCUAAGGAGUUUUUGGAGGAAGGGGUGGGCGUGUGGCCGGUCAAUGCUUUUAGGUGGUGGAAGGAUUUGGUGUCCUGAGCAAAAGGUAACGAGGUAGAUUGGUUUUAUGAGGUGGUUAGAAAGGUGAGUAAUGGAGCUACAACGAGUUUUUGGAAAUUGGCAUGGAGAGGAGGAGAACCAUUUAUGAUUAAAUUCCAUAGACUUUUUUUUGAUUUCAACUUUCCAAGAAGCAACAAUUCAAGAGAUCUGGAUUCCGGACUUAGGCGGUGGGAGGUGGAGUUUUAGUUGGAGGCGUCAACUAUUUGUUUGGGAAGUUAAUCUCCUUGAUGAGUUGUUGGGGGUGUAGGAGAGUUUUGUGUUGGGUGGGGUGGAGGAUGAAUGGCGGUGGAAGUUGGAGGAAGACGACACCUUCUCGGUGAAAUCUAUGUAUCUCAAAUUGGAGGGGAGAUGGUUGGCGGAGGUAGUGUGUCCAGAGGGCGAGAGGAGAGUGUUUAGACAAAUUUGGAAGACCGGGGCACCGUCCAAGGUGAGGGCCUUUGUUUGGAAAGCUCUUCUUGAUCGGAUUCCGACGCGUGUUAAUUUGGGAAUUCGGAAUUGUUUACCUCCCGGUGUUGGAAGUAAUUGUGUUCAUUCUACGGAUUUCUCCGAGUCUACCUCACAUCUCUUCCUUCAUUGUGAUUUGGCCCGGAAUGUUUGGUUGAGUUUGAUGUCUUGGUUGGAUUUGAAUUUUAUAAUGCCUUCGAACCUUUUUAUCCAUUGGGAGUGUUGGAGUGGGGGUCCUUUUCAUAAGAAAGUUCGGAACGAGUUGCGGAUGAUUUGGAGGUCGGGAUUUGGGUGAUUUGGAAGGCUAGAAAUGAGUGCAAUUUUAAUAAUGCUAUUGCUAGAUAGGAUGAGUUAGUGGAGGAGGUUAAAGUGAUGUCUUGGAGAUGGUUGCUAGGUAGAUCAAAUUCUACGGUUUGCUUGUUUUAUGAGUGGAGUUGGGGUCCUCGAGAAUGCCUUUUGAGGUAAGGUUGCGGCUGUCCUUUGGUGUUUGUGCGUGUCUGGCUGUUGGGGGGCCUGUGGCUUCGGUUUUUGGCCUGCUGUCAUGACAGAACAGCAGCUGUUGGUGCUGUUUCUGUCGGAUGCGCAGCUGGUUUUUGGGCCUGUUUUGGCCGUGGUAGGUGCUGCCUGCUUGGGGUAAUUGCUUGGGGCUUUUCAGGAGGCGUAGUGGCUUAGCUAUGGGCUUGAAUUUUGGUGCUGUUAUUAGAUUUCAAAGUCAUAGCAGUAGCCAUGCUAUUUGGUUUUGUUCGUUAUGGGGCUUCUUCGCCGUCUUCGUGUUGGAAGUGGUGGAGCAGUUUUAUUUUGGGUGGAUGUUAUGCCUAUAGGCGGCAUUUUUGUAUUGUUCCUUUUGCCACCUCUUUGCAUCUUGCGAGAGCUUCGGCUUAGUAAAUUUUGCCGAUUAAAAAAAAAAACUAAGGAAAGAGAUAUAAUACACCAUUACUAUCCAAGAAAUUCGGAAGUCUUGUAUGUUGUUUAUACCUUAAACUCUAUGUACGUGUGUAGCACCCCUGCAUAUGUUUAUCCCAUUUGCUCAGUUUUGUUAAAGAGUGUCUAUAACACUAUAGCGUAGAGAAAUAUGAACAAAUCACUAUUGUUACUGUUACAUGCGAUACCUAUUUAUCACAAAAUAUCGUCAAUUAACAGCUAUUGCGGCACUAUAACACUGUUGCAUAGCGGAUAAUGCAUAAACUGCUAUUUUCCAUGAUCCGUGAUUGACAACACUGCAUUUGCUUGUCCAUUUAUGCAGCCUUUGUAUGCUUGUUUAUUACAUUUAUAUGUCCUUUAUACAACUUGACUACAAAAAUAUUUUUGAGAUCAAAAUUUUGAUGUCAAGCAGUGUCCUAUGGUUUUUGUGUGUGUUUUUUUGAAAUGAGUGUAAGUUGUAAAAGAUCAAAAGUAAGUGAGAGAUAGAGAUAAACACAUAUUGUGUCACACGGUGUCUGUAUUUUGAUGUUCAAAUAUUACAACUGCUUAACUAAUGAGUAUUUGUUUAAUUUCACAGCUCAAAUGCUGUUACUUGCUAGUGAAUUCAAAGGAGAAGCAGACAAGGUGCUUAUUGUUAAAAAGGCAGAAGCAGAAGCCGAAUCAAAGUUUUUAGGCGGGGUUGGUGUGGCCAGGUAGAGGCAAGCUAUCACAGAGGGCUUGAGAGAGAACAUCUUGCAAUUCUCUAACAAGGUGAAGGAACUUCAGCAAAGGAAGUGAUGGAUCUUAUCAUGAUUACUCAGUACUUCGACACAAUCAGAUACCUUGGAAACAAUUCAAAGAAUACCACAGUUUUUAUACCUCAUGGACCUGGCCAUGUUAGGGAUAUUGGUGAUCAAAUUCGCAACGGUAUGAUGGAAGCAUCGUGUGCUCAAGUUACUGAUGCCGAGUGAUUUUGUAAAAUUAUAUUUUAUCAAAGUACACUCUUGUUUCUUCUAUCUCUAUCACACAGUGUCACAUGCAUAAAAUAGUAAUAUAUGGAUAUGUCAUUUGUUUAUGUUGGAUUUUAUGGGAUUUUAUGAAGAACAGUUUUGAACAGAUUGAAGUUGUAAAUUAAGAUGGUUGAGUUGUCUGUGCAAUCUCUGUAGCCAUGCUAUGCAUUCCUUGACAUUGUAAUGUUGUGACAAUUCAAAAGAUAAUAUAUAAUCUUCUGCAUUAUAUGUACUUCUUUUUUUCCCAAAGCAUCAAAAGUGUAGUUUUAUUUUUCUGUUUUAUGAGUGUAUGUGUAAGCAAUUGGACAAACUGUGUGGUAUGUGGUGCCAAUCUUUCGGUAAGUUUUAAACGUAUCUAUGGUUUCUCAUCGGAUUUAUUUUUACAGGGAAAUGUUAGUAUAUUAGUUGUUAUAUUAGUAUUUUUUUUCUUCCUUUUAUCAGUGUUUGAAUCUCAGUCUUUACUCCUUCCACUCUUGGUCCAAAUUCUAUUUGGAAAUUUGGAGGCAAUUUGGGAUUAUAUUUUCAAAUGCAAAGAUGAACCAGACACUGAUCAAAUCAAAUAUAAUGUUUUGUGAUGCAUAUAUAUUUAACAAUAGUACACUUCUAUAACUGAAUUUCAACAAAUAAUUCUCCUUCAUAAUUAUCAUUGUCAUAUAUGUCAUAUUACACUCUUAUGUCAAUGUAAGAAUACUUAAAAAAAAAAAAAAAAGAAAUGAGCGAGUACAUCAUCCUGUUUUUAGCUUCCAGUCUCAAUUUAUUUUCUUCUCAAAUUGAUUUGCUUGUUCACAUUUUAGUCUGACAUAUUCCAGUAGUCCGAUGUCAUCUCCGUAUCCGCCUGCAAAUUCCAAUGACAAAAAUUAUGAUAUGAGAAUGCAGGAAAACAUUUUAUGUCAUACAGAUAUAUGUUGUUCCCCAAGCUAUGAUUAACCGAAAAGAAUCAAAUGACAGACCCUAUGUUGAUCUAUUGUGAACACGUGGAUCCUCUAAAUCUGUGCAGUUUCUCUCCUGCACUCUCUGCUUCCCUUUUAUGUUCCUAUCUCUCACAUGAUUUCCUUCUCUCUCAUCAUUACUUCUUCCUUUUUUAUUUAUGGUUUCUCUCUCCUCACACACAAAAUCACAACAGCAGCAUGUGCUGCUGCUGCAGAGGAUCCAUAUCCUUUCCUUCUCUCUCAUCAUUACUUCUUCCUUUUUUAUUUAUGGUUUCUCUCUCCUCACACACAAACUGCUGCUGCAGAGGAUCCAUAUCCGAUUGAAUAUAUGACGACAACACGAAAGAAAGAAAAAAAGUGGUCUUCACAUGGAUAUCUUUGCCAUGCGAAAGUGGCAGAGAAUGCUGUUUGUAAGGUCACAAACCUUAGCUAAAGAUUCCCUUCACAUAUAAACUUCAUCAUUAUUUCCCAAAAGGUUUAAACAGAUUGUUAGUUUUCAAUAAAAUGCCGACGUUGAGCAUGAAUGUCAACAUAACUUAAGUCCAAAAUGAGUUCUGUUAAACUACACAAGGGAUCCCACCAGAGGAUGUGCCAAAAAGGCUCUGCAGUAUUAUAAAGUUUGUUUGAAACUUUGAAUCAAAUACUUAAUGCAGCCAACGCAAAAAAUGCUCAAGCUUUAUCAGAAAUGGAGAUCCAUGAGUAUAUAAGCUUAGUAGAAGUUUUCUUUAUUAACAUUCAGAUAUUUUUUACGUUAAACAACAGAUUUUGUUCUUUACUAUUCUUCUACAAAAUACAAGACCAAGUCGAGGGGACUCGAUUUAUCAGAGUAUUACAUCUAAUUUACUUUCAACCUCAUCAGUAUCUAGAGAAAAUGGGCAUGUCAUGACUACAUAAUGUCCUAGAUCUCAACAUCAUACCUGACGAAUCACUGGAGAUUUGGAAGCGAAAGUGUAACCAAUAAGGGAUAAAUGUGUUUGUGCCAACAAGGACCAAAUUGUAGGGAAAACACAAAAAGGAACUACAUUUUUUUUUACAAAGAUUUACAAGCACACACUCCACCAAAACUCACAAUGAUCCGACUCAGUGAACAAACAAUCCACAUCAUGCAGCAGAAAACCUCACUUAGAUGCACAAAGCAACGGCGGUUUUAGGGCUUUGUCAGUCAAUCAAACUCUCGAGACACUGGUUCCUCCUCAGACACAAUGCAGUCAGGGACAAAAGAAUUGAAACCGCCUCACAAAUGUCACAGCAAGGAGAACAGUUCACUUGUUGCAACUUAUGCAUCACGGGUUAGGAUUGAAGAGCACUUUCUUUAUCUACCAGUAAUCUUUGCAAGAACAAACUCCAUCUUUAAAGUGGUGAUACCUCAUCCUAUCUCGUACUAUAAUUACUCGAUCAUAAACCUUGGAGAUGAAUUUUAUUGCUUCAUGACAAUCCCCACAAACUCUUAAAUUCUUCACUAUGCAAAUUGGAGUUCCUGGUGCUGUGUUCAUCAGUCCAAAAGCAAUCGCCAACUUCUCACUGUGUACAGAAAGAGUAGUCUCUUUAUCUUCCUCAUCAUCAAAAUCAAGCAAAACUUCCCCUAACUCGGGAACAUACCCGGCAAUCUUCAACUUUCUUAUCAUCUCCUCCAAAAAUGAAUAAAUCUCCCCUACUCCGAGGAUGUGAUCGAUCACCAACAAGGAAUUCAUGGAAUAUCCCAUUCAAUUCAAUUGAGCUGAAACCAGGAAUUUUUUUUCCUGUCACUACUGAUUUCAUUUCUCUCUCUUAGUAUCCUUGCUUCAUUCCAUCUUCCUGAUGUAGAAUAUAUAUUACCCAACAAAACAUUACAGCCUAUAUGGUUAGGAUCAAUUUCUUUAAUUAUCCUACCUAUUCUAUAUCCACGUUCCAUGUCUUUAUAGAUUCUACAAGCAUUCAACAGUGCUCCCCAAAUCGCAACAUCCGGAGCCAUCGGCAUGCUCAAGAUCAUCUCUUCAGCCUCCUUCAAGAGCUCAGAACGACUAAGUAAAUCUACCAUACAUCCAUAAUGCUCUAUUUCAGGAUUUAUUCCGUAAUCACUAGACAUCAAUUCAAAAUAUGAUUUUCCCUCCUUAAUCAUAUAGCCAUGGCUACAAGCAUUUAAUAAGGCAAUGAAUGUUACUUUAUUAGGAGAAACUCUUUCAACCUUCAUUUGUUCAAACAGACUUAUAGCUUCUUCAGGUUUUCCAUGCAUUGCAAACCCACCAAUCAUGGCAUUCCAUGGCCAAACCUUUCGCUUCACUUUGUGUUCAUGGAAAACACUUGAUGCAGAAUCUAUCUCGCCACACUUUGCAUACAUGUCAAUGAGGCUAGCCAGAAGUCUAUCAUUCAUCUUAAUCUUGUCCCUCCGAAUAUAAACAUGGAUUCACUUCCCUUGAUCCAACGCGACAAGAUUUCAACAAGCUGCAAGAGCGCUUACCAUGGUAUAUUCAUUUGGUUUGACCUCGGAUUGCAACAUGUUGUGGAAGAACUCCAAAUCCUCCAUGAAACAGCCAACCUAGAAAAAACAUGAAGUAACUUUAGACAGAGUACAUAGACAAUCAAGUUAAAAACAAUAAAAUAUAGUCAAAAUUGCACCAAAGGUCCUUUGAACUUAGUUUAGAAGUUUCAAACAGCUCCUAUUUUUAUUUUAAGUUAGUCCCCUAUGUUCUAAAAUGACAAAAAUAAUAAACCAAACUUCAUUUUUCAUCUAAGUAAGUUACCAAAAGUCUUACUUAAUCAAUCAAACAGGUAAAUCACAUCUUCAAUUCAUCAAGAUAACAUCUAAAUUAUAUAAAAACGAUUGUUACAAUAUCUAAACUAUCAAAAUUAACAAGAUGUUUUUUAUAUUUAUCUACGAUUGUAACCUCGUUGUUGUCAACGAUGGUCUAAUUCUGGUAUUGAACGGUGAGACAUACUAUACAGCAUAACAUUCAAUGACCAUGUACACAGCUAGUACAGUUUACGUUAAAUGUAAUAUACCUUCAACUGUUAAAUAUGUUAAUAACAUUAUUUAUCUAUUUUACUUUCUAAAAUACCUGAACAUAACCAGCUAUUAUAGUACUCCAUGACACAACAUCCCUCUCAUGCAUUUCAUCAAACAAAUUCUUUGCUUGAAUCAUGUUACCGGAUCCAACAUACACACCGAUCAUAGUGUUCCAACUAUACAAGUCUCUAUCUAUAGCCGAAUCAAACACGUUCCUCGCAUCGUCCAUGUAACGCCCACUUUCGUUUAAUUAUUUAUUUAAUCGAGUUUAAGCAAUUAUAUUAUAUUUUUAUAAUAUAUGUGUGAGUUUUGUUGAAUUAAGAUGAUUUAAGUUGAUUUGGAUGAUUUGUUGUGUUUUGGUGAUUUGAUAAGAUUAUGAGACUUAUUUUAUUGUUAAAUAAAAUAAGAUUUGAUAAGAAAAUAAAAAUAUUUAGUUGAGGGCUGUUUUGAGAUUUUAGAUAGUUUUGGGGGAGAAAGUGAGAUAAGAUAAGAUAUUAGGAAGAUGUAUAUAAGAGAUAGACCUAGUUUUAGAAAAGUUAGUACGUACGACUGUUUUUGGAGAAAAGAGAGAAAAAGCUAAGAGAAGAGAGAACCAAGAGAAGGGCUGCGAUUUUCUUCAUACAAGGUAAGGGUGAGACUAAUAAUUCAGUAAUGUUAGUUGUUGUAAUUCUGAUGAUUAAUUGACAAAGUUAGGAUUGAUUUAGAAAAGUUUUGGAAUUAGGUCAAAACCCUAAAAAUUGAUGAUCAAACGGUAAAAUUGUGUUAGAUUGAUGUAGAAACCGUCCUAUAACCUUAGAAUAAGUUUAGGAUGAAUUCUGGAUUUGAAACUAGGCGUAGAACUAAGUUAGAUGAUGAUUUUCGUGUAGAAACUGCAUUCUGUCCGAGCCAAAAUUCAUCGCUCGCCAUAGCGAGCUAUGAUCCUUGUAACACCCCGUUUUCCCAAUAUACAAAUUUCAUAAACAAUUAUCAGAGUAAAAACCAUAAACGGGAUAUCACAUAGAAACGUAAUCCAAAUACAGUUAAAUAAUAAUUUAACCUUCACAGUUUUCUUUAACAUAGCAGCGGAAUUAUUAAUUCAAAAAUCAUAAAUCAGUUUGGCACGUAGGCCCCAUCAAAAUAGUUCAUAUUCCAUGACAUAAUAAAAUAACAUAUUAUCCACGUAAGAGAAUGAAGCAUGUUAUAGCUUAUAACCCCAUCCCGUUACGUAUCAGAGCGACCUAGACGACACAGUGAAGGCAAGGCCACUCACGACGGCAACUGCACACUAAGCACGAUCACCUGCAAGUUACCCAUACGAAGGGCAACAUUUUCAAGCAGAAGGGGUGAGAUUUCAUAAUACAAUAACAUUAAUCAAUGUAAUUGAGAAUCAUAAAUUAACAUCAUAUUCAUUCCAUUACUAACUUUGCAUAAUUGCUAAACAGUUAACACGUAAUCAUAUAUCCAAUCAUUAGGAAUAACAUAUCAUAAUCAAUAAACACAUAUCACGUAAUCACAUAAUCAAUCAUCAUCAACAAGGCAUCUUAAUCAUGACAAUGUGACAAUGCUCUUAGACUCAUUAUAUGCAUGUGGUACCAAUCGUCAUCAUAAGUAUUAAUAUACUUUAAUCGUGCGGAGGACAAAGCUCCUAUAAAACGUGCGGAGGACAAAGCUCCUAAUUUUCGUGGUGAGGACUAAGCUCAAUGAUAUGCUAUGCAUGGACACAUAUGGACAAAACUUCGUAAUCACUUAUCAACAUGCAUCCAAUAAUUUGGAGCUAAACUUCAUCAUAUACUUAUGCACUUAGUUAAAUAACGAAAGCAGCAUAAACAAGUCACAUAACAAGAUGAUAUCAUUAUAUCAAUGGCACAUAAAUUGCAUUAUUAUCAAACCUUCAUAUCUUGCAUGAAUAUACAAUACAUUAAUUCAUAUUCAAUUAAUAUCAAUAUAACUUGAACAACUCUACAGGCUGCAUUAAACGUCACCACUAGGUCUCAAUACCAAUUAGGGGUUCACUCUUGAUCAACUCGUGCGACACAGAUCGCACAACACUCAAGCAACUACAUUCUGGUUGUACUCGCGAGGCGAGAGUACUUACUCGCCAUGGCGAGUAACACUAAUCUCCCAAACUAAUGUUGUUCUGGGUUCAAUCCUGUCCUAAAAUCAUUCCUAAUCAUCUCUAGGUAUGUUUAGGCACUUAAAGGCACUCAAGGUCCAACUAAAAAGUCGAAAAUACAAAAUAUGACAUGCACUCUGCCUAAGCUCGCGAGGCGAGAAAGGGUUGCUCGCCAUGGCGAGUUGGACCAAACAACUCGCGAGGCGAAGGAAAGGGGCUCGCGUGGCGAGCGAUGAAGUUCAUCACUCGCGAGGCGAGGAUCAUCACUCGCCGUGGCGAGCGAUGAACAGAAGCACGGGCAGACUAGGGUUUUUCUCAAAAAUCCAUCACACAACAUGGUUCAAAGCCUAAUUUUGAUUCCAGAAUUCAUCCUAAACAUAUUCUAAGGUUAAAGGACGGUUUCUACAUCAAUCUAAACAAGUUUUACCGUUUGAUCAUCAAUUUUUAGGGUUUUAACCUAAUUCCAAAACUUCUCUAAAUCAAUCCUAACUUUGUCAACUAAUCAUCAGAAUUACAGUAAUUAACAUUAUUGAAUUAUUAGUCUCACCCUUACCUCGAAUGAAGAAAAUCGCAGCACUCUACCUUGAUUCCUCUAGACUUGGCUUUUCUCCCUUCUUCCAAAAGUUUUCACGUACAAUGAGUUUCUAAAAUAUUAGGUCUUCUCCUAUUUAUACCUCUUUCUAAUAACUUAUCUUAUCUCACUUUCUCCCCCAAAACUAUCUAAAAUAUCAAAACAGCCCUCAACUAAAUAUUUUAUAUUAUUUUCAAAUCUUUAUUCUAUUUAUCAAUAAAAUAAAUCUCAUAUCAUAAUCAAAUCCUCCAAAACUCAUAACUUAUCACGUCAUCAAUCAAAUCACCAAAAUCACCACAAUCAUCAAAACAUAUCAAAAUCAUGCAUAUAUUAUAUAAAUAUAAUAUAAUCACCUAAACUCGAUUAAAUAAACGAUUAAACGAAAGUGGGCGUUACAAUCCUCGCCUCGCGAGUGAUGAUGUUCAUCGCUCGCCACGCGAGCCUUAACCUUUCGCCUCGUGAGUUACUUGGUGUAGCUCGCCACGGCGAGCAACCUUACUCGCCAUAGCGAGCUUGACCAGAGAGCAUGUUGAAUUCUGAGUUUUUGACUUUUGAGUUGAACCUUAGAUGCCUUUGAGUACCUUUAGGUAACUACUAUUGAUUAGGGAAUGAUUUUAGAACAAGAUUGAACCUGGAAAAAACUUAGUUGGAAUUCUGGCUUGUACUCGCCAUGGCGAGCUGAUGCUCUCGCCUCGCGAGCACUUCCAUAACUGACUGUUUUUUAGGAUUGUGAGACUUGAGUUGUUUGGAUUAGUUAGGAAAAGAACUUUAGGUGCUAAUGAGACCUAAUAAUGAUAUUGACUUAGAACUGUGAAGCUUUUAUGAAUUGUUAAAUGAUUAUGAAGUGAAUUAUGGAUUGAAAUAUACUUGCUUGAAUUAUUGUUGAAUGAUCAAGAAACUAUUGAGAAUGAUUUGUUAUUUAACCUGAUGUGAUUUGAUUAUGCUGCAAUUGUUAUUAAACUAAGCUGCAUGAAUAUGAAUAAGUUGAUGAUGAACUCCAAAUUAUUGGAAGUAUAAGUGAUAAGUCGAUUGAGGUGUUUUGUUGUUAGAGUCCAUGCAUUAGCAUUCAUUGAGCUUUGUCCUCACCAUGAUAGGAGCUUUGUCCUCUACACGUUUUAGGAGCUUUGUCCUCCGCAUGAUUAAAGUAUAUUAAUACUUAUGAUGACGAUUGGUACCACAUGCAUAUAAGUGUCUAAGUUGCAUUGUUGCAUUGUCAAGGUUUAAAGGUGUUUAUGUUAUUGAUGAAGAUUGAAGUUGUGAUUAUGUGAUACUUGUUUAUCAUAGAUGCAAAGUUGAUUAAGACAUAUUAUGUUAGUUAUGAUUUUUGAAUUAUAAUGAUUGAUAUUAUUGUAUUAUGAAAUCUCACCCCUUCUGCUUGAAAAUGUUGCUCUUCGUAUGAGUAACUUGCAGGUGAUCGUGCUUAGUGUGUAGUUGCUGUUUGUGAGCGGCUUUGCCUCACUGUGUCGUCUAGGUCGCUCUGAUACGUAACGGGAUGAGGUGUUUGAUAUGCAUGCUUCAUUCUCUUACGUAACUAUUAUGUUAUUUUUAUAAUGUUAUGGAUUGACUGUUGAAAUAUUUUGAUGGGGCCUACGUGCCAAAACGUUUUAUGGAUUAUGAAAUAAUUUCCGCUGCAAUGUUUAAGUUAUAUGGUUAAAUUGUUAUUUAACUGGUUUGGAUUAUGUUAAAUGUGAUAUCCUAUUUGUUUAUGUUGUUUACUCUGAUAAAUGUUUAAGAAAUUUUCAUAUUGGAAAAACGGGGUGUUACAGUCCACAUGUCCCCACUUUCCAAACAUACCAAUCAACGCAUUCACAACAAACACAUUACCAUCCAACCCAACUUUCACAGCAUGUGUAAAAACAUGCUCCCCUUCCCUCACACAUAACCCAUUUCCACAAGCACCGAAAGCAAACACGAAGCUAUACCGAUUCGGAAAAUAACUCGAAUCCCUUAUUAAUGAUCGAAACACCGCAAUAGAAUCACGAUAUGAAUGGUUUGACAUAGAAUGUGCUUUGAUCAUGGUGUUGUAAAUGAAUAAAUCUCUUUGAGGAAUUUUAUCAAACAGUUUGUGUGCAUAAGUAAGUGAAACUAAAGCAACGUUUUUGAGGAAUUUGUUGGCUAUAACAGGGUAUGAGAUUUGUGCUGUGGUGAUUAAGUGUGCAUGGGUUUGUUUAAUUUGGUUAAUGGAUUUGCAUAAAUCAAUUAAUGAGCUAUGUUUUGAAUGGUUAACAUAAUGAAAAGGUUCAGUGUUAUGAGCCGUUUGUUAUAUUUUUUUUCAAAUAUAUUUUGUAGUGUAGGUUCUGUUUGGGAAACCAAAAAAAGAGCUUUUAGUUUUUAGCUUAUAGCUUAUAAGCUCGUUUGACAAAAAAAGUUCUGUUUGGUAACACUUUUUCACCAUGAGCUUAUAGCUUAUUUCACGAGCUUAUAAGCUAUUUUUCAGAAGCUAUUCCAAGUAGCGUUUGAGCUUAUAGCUUAUAACUUCUCACUUUUUCUUCCAAUUUUACUCUUAUUAUUUCAUUUAAAUUGUAUUUUUAUCCAUUAUAAUUUUUAUAAUAAGCUACGUAAUAAAGACUAUUAUCCCUUUAUUCCAAUUUUUGUAUAUAUAUCAGCUGGUCUUUUUUUUUUUUUUUUUGAAAAAAUAUAUACCUUCGUUUUUUUUUUACGGAACAAAAUACUAUUAUUCUAUUAGUGUUACUUUUUAUUUUUAUUUUUUUGAGGUAAGUAAGCGUUAUUUUCUUUAUUCUCUGUUAUUAGUAUUACUCUAUUAGUGCUACCUUUUUUUUGGUUUUUGAGGUAAAUGUUAUUUUCUUUAUAAAGUAGAAACACUUAAAUGAUAAUAAAUAUAAGAUAAAAUUUUAGUGAAUAAAAUUUAAUUUAAUUUAUAAUACAUAGGAUAUAUUAAAUUAAUAAAUUUAAAGUAUUUUUUUUAAAGAAAAAUUAGUAUACAAAAUUACAAAUACUUAAAUUAAUGAUAUAAUUUUUAUUAUGAAUUAAGAAUACCCUUUAUAUCAUUUUACAUUUAUCAGCUAGUUGAACCGCUAUUUUUACCAAACACUUCAGUUAGCUUAACAGCUAAAAGCUAUCCGCUAUAUUUUUGUAGUGUAAUAUGUUUUUUUAUAAUAUUUUUAACAAAAAAUUUUUCAAGGAAAGCUUCAAAUGAAAAAUUUGUUUGAGUAGCUUAUCUUAAAAUGUCAUUUUAAGACUCUAUAAAAAUAACGGAUAACUUAUAGCUUAUAGUAGAUAAUUGAUAGUUGAUGACUUAUAGCUGAUAAGCUAAUUAAAAUGUUUGGUAAAAUUAGCGGUUUAACUAGCUGAUAUUAUACAAUUUAUACUUUUGGGUGGUUUGCCCCUUGCACAUCUUGUGCGGGUGAAUCAUUGUUGUUAAUAUUAUACCUCAUUUUAGUUUGUUAAAAAAAAAAAAAAAAAACUAGUUGAUAAAUGUAAAAUGAUAUAAAAGGACAUUCUUAAUUUAUAUUACAAUUUAUAUCAAUUAAUAUUUAAAGAUAUAUAUUAGUAAUUUAAAUUUAUUAAUUUAAUAAAUAUUUUAUAUAUUAUCAAAUUAAUGUUUUGCUAAAAUUUUAUUUUUAAAUUUAUUCCAUUUAAAUUUUUAGACUUUAUGAAAAAUUAAAGUAUGAUUGAUUUUAUUUCAGUUUUUAUACUUCAAAAAGAUUAAACAUAUCAUUCUUUAAAAAAAAAUAAAAAAAAAUUAAACAUAACAUUGCACUACAAAUAUUUUGAUCAUUACAAAGCUUAACUUUUCAACAAAAAAAAUAAAAAUCUCAAAAAAAUAAAAAUAAACUAAUGUAGCAACAUUUUUUCUAUUUUCUUGACAGGAUGUUAUUUUAUACAAAGAAUUGAAACCGUGCAGCUUUAAGAAACAGUCUCUCUCUCGAAUCCAGCAUAAGAAUGAGAUUAGGGUGAGCGAUGAGCGAUGACCGUUAGAAGAGAAGAGAGUGAGCGUAUCAAGGAACUGAUUAAAGUAAUUUCAGUCACCAAAAAUUGAUUAUCGGAGGAUGAAAAUGAUUAUGUUGGAGGGUUAGGGUUUGGGUUUCAAGCAUCCAUUCAGGAUAGAUGUUUUGGACAACAACUCAUCUUCAAGGGUUUUCAAUCGAUUAUCGGAAGAUGAAAAUGAUUGAAAACGCUUGAAGAUGAGUUGUUGUCCACAGCAUCUAUCCCAUAAUGGAUGCUUGAAACCCAAAACCUAACCCUUCAACAUAAUCAUUUUCAUAUUCGGAUAAUCGAUUUCGGUGACUGAGAUUAUUUAAUCAGUUCCUUAAUACGCUCACUGCAUAGAACACAUACUGUGCGUAGGGCAAUGAAUGAGAUCAAUGCAGGUAUUAAUACUGUUUUUAUUACGUUGUAUAUUGUGAUGUUUUACGACUUCAGUUUCUUUCCCAUGAUUUUAUUUGAAUGAUAUUGAUAGAAUUCGGUACUAAAAUACAAUUUAAUUGUAGAAAUUGACUUUUAUUGAUGGAAGAAAUGUUUACAACAGAAACAGAUUUACAUUUUAGACACAUAAACUAAGGAAAGAGAUAUAAUACACCAUUACUAUCCAUAGAUACAUUCCAAACUAAGGAAAGAGAUAGUCUAUAACAAUAUAGCUUAGAGAAAUAUGAACAAAUCGCUAUUGUUACUGUUACAUUACAUAUCACAAAAUAUUGUUAAUUAACAGCUAUUGCGGCACUAUAACACUGUUGCACAGUGGACAAUGCAUAAAUCGCUAUUUUCCAUGAUCCGUGACUGACAACACUGCAUUUGCUUGUCGAUUUAUGCAGCCUUUGUAUGUUUGUUUAUUACAGUUAUAUGUCCUUUAUACAACUUGACUAGAGAAAUAUUUUUGAGAUCAAAAUUUUGAUGUCAAGCAGUGUCCUAUGGUUUUUGUGUGUGUUUUUUGAAAUGAGUGUGAGUUGUAAAAGAUCAAAAGUAAGAGAGAGAUAGAGAUAAACACACAGUGUCGCAUAGGGGUGGACAAAAACCCGUGGCCCGGAAUGUCACACACGGUUUCUGUAUUUUGAUGUUCAAAUAAGACAACUUCCUAACUAAUGAGUAUUGGUUUAAUUUCACACCUCAAAGGCUGCUACUUGCUAGUGAAUUCAAAGGAGAAGCUGAUAAGGUGCUUAUUGUUAAAAAGGCAGAAGCAGAAGCCGAAUCAAUGUUUUUAGGCGGAGUUGGUGUGGCAAGGCAGAGGCAAGCUAUCACAGAUGGUAUGUGGUGAUAUAUGGAUAUGUCAUUUGUUUCUGUUGGAUUUGAUGAAAGAACAGUUUUGAACAGUGUGAAUUUGUAAUUAAGAAGGUUUAGUUGUACUCUGUAACCAUGCUAUACAUUCCUUGACAUUGUAAUGUUAUAUGAGAAUUCAAAAGAUGAUAUGCAAUCUUCUGCUUUAUAUGAACUUAUCUUUUUCCUUAAGCAUCAAAAGUAUAGUUUUGUUUUUCUGUUUUAUGAGUAUAUAUGUAAGCGAUUGGACAAACUCCAUGGUAUGUGGUGCCAAUCUUUCAAUAAGUUUGGAAUGUAUCUUUGGUUUCUCGUCGGAUUAUUUUUUCUUUUAUAGGGAAAUGAUAGUAUAUAACUAGUUGUUAUAUUAGUAUUUUCUCUUUUAUCAGUGUCCGAGUCUCUUCUAUUUGGAAAUUUGGAGGCAAUUUGGGAUUAUAUUUUCAAAUGCAAAGAUGAAUUUGUUGGCUAUAACAAGGUGUGUGAUUUGUGUGCUGUAGUGAUUAAGUUUGCAUGGGUUUGUUUAAUUUGGUUAAUGGAUUUGCAUAAAUCAAUUAAAGAGCUAAGUUUUGAAUGGUUAACAUAAUGAAAAGGUUUUGUGUUAAUCAUGUUUUUGUAACAGGUGAUGGGAGAAUAUGGAUAUAGCAUAGAAUACAUACUGAUGGUGGAUAUUAUACCUGAUCCUUCUGUGCAGAGAGCAAUGAAUGAGAUCAAUGCAG